rnacentral:lncRNA from 1 species
UCUUCUCCAUCAACCCUGCCGCCUACUCCACUGAGUAGCAAAGGUACAGCACCGCAUACUGCCUACUUCGUUCCUUGGUUAUGCACUCUUGCAUGACCCGAAGUCCUUCACUUUCGGCUAUCUUGAUGAGAAGCUCAUUGACACCGAUCUUACGAAGUUCCUCGGCCUCUAUCCUUCAGCCUUGUCUCGAUACUUGGAGAUUGCCUCUGCAUGCUCCACCUCCUCGACCCCUUUCACGACCAAGCGCUCUCCCUCCAUAAGAGCAAGGGAUCAAUGACUUUCACGGAAGUCCCACCUCUGCGGUACCAUGGCACUGCCUCAGUAGAUAUGCCUCUAUGGCACUCCUCCAAGUCCACCUCCAUUCUAACUGAUGCUUGAUUUUGGGUAGCUAAAUCCCUCUAGACUCGUCGUCGCUUCCUCGCCCCUUUCGACCCCUUGCUUCAACACCUCUAUGUUCUCCAAGCAGUCUGUUUGGUCGAUGGAAAGACAGACUACAACUCCCAUGCAUGGCUUCUGCCAUCACAUUGUAGGGUUUGCACCGAUUCUAUUCUCCUUAGCUUCCUUGGUAGCAACGUUUGCUUACUCGGCCUUGUCCUCUGACUUGCCGGGCUCCCUUAAGCGAAUAUGAGCUCUGGACCAGUCCAACUCUCCAGCUGCUUCGAUCAUACCUCUGUAUGAUCAAGUCCCCCCCAUGGAACUCACUGGUACUUGCAUUCGAACUUUUCCCUUGGUGGAACCCAGCCCCCUUAUGCUGAUGACCAAGGUUUUCAUCCGAUGCAAAAUUCGAUGCAUGCACGGAAGACCCGCCUCUGCGGUACCAUGGCCUUCACUCCUUGAAUCCAUAGCCCUUCUUGUCGUCGUGUUGUUCACCGAAGUGGAGCUUCCAGUAGCUCCCGAUCAUACCUCCAUAUGAUCUAGUCCCUCCCGGGAGUAAUUCUCUCAUAGGUUUGGUCACCUCUGGGAUUGUACCGUCUUCUCCAUCAACCCUGCCGCCUACUCCACUGAGUAGCAAAGGUACAACACCGCGUACUGCCUGCUUCGUUCCUUGGUUAUGCACUCUUGCAUGACCCGAAGUCCUUCACUUUCGGCUAUCUUGAUGAGAAGCACAUUGACACCGGUCUUACGAAGUUCCUCGGCCUCUACCCUUCAGCCUUGUCUCGGUACUUGGAGAUUGCCUCUGCAUGCUCCACCUCCUCGGCCCCUUUCACGAC